rnacentral:lncRNA from 1 species
UUUGAAUCGUGACAGAACUGAUUUCAAUAUCAUAACUAUUAUUUCUAAAGUUGUAAUACAUCCAGAAAACUAUCAAAGAGCUUAUAUUGAAUUACCUCCAAACAGCUUAAGGAGGAAACAUUAUGACCAAAUGAAGGCCAGCCACUCCACAGCUAAAUGCAGAAAAUCAGCAAAUACUCUCAGCAACUUAAGAACAGCAUAAUCAACCACCACUCAAAAUCCCACUAGAAUUGAAACAAAAACCAGUAGAAAAAAAAAGGAAAGAGAAGCAGCUUUGAAUUCUUUCUUUUUGUUAUAUUUUCUGUAUCUAGACUUGAACUUUUCAACUUCUUUAUUUUUUGAAAAAAAAAAAAAUUAGUGUGGGUGAGAAAAGUAGCGUGAGGUUUUUUUGUAGACUUUUGUGUGUGUGAAAGGGAAGUGUGAGGUCUCUUUUAUAGAGUGUAAGAGGAAAAGGGGAGGAUAAAAAGGAAUCUUGUCAGCUAAAAAUUAGGGGAGGGCGUCUAUUUUUUUUAACAGAAAAUAGACAGCUGUCAUAUUUUUUUAGCAGCUGUCCUUUUCUCUAUUUUUUUCAGCACCAUACCCUUUUUUAAAGUAACCUUUUUACCCCAACGUCUAACCUAAUUUCUGGUUUUCAUUACACUUUAACCUCUUUUCUGGAAGCUUCCUAAGUAACUACUCAGAUUCUCUAAUUUUGGUGUACUCUCUAGUCUACUCAAUUCUUGCAAAUUACUUUUCUUUUAACAUUCUAUAUUACCUCCAAACAUGCAGUCUUUUAUCCAAAUUUACGGCUCUUUUUUCCUUAUCACAAUUAAACUAAACAAAGCUAAACUAGCACUAGGAUAACAACACAAAGUAAACCUAAAUUAUCAACUAAUUAACGUAUUAAUUAGGAAAAUAGAUAAUUUAAACAAGCAACACGAUUAUCAAAUGAUUUCAGAUUCAACUAAAACAAAUAACCACUUAGAAAGUCAAAAUAAUUUUAAUUAUAAACCUAAGCAUGCUUGGAUUAACAGAAAUCACCAAUUAACCCAAUCACACACUCACAUGAAAGGCGUGUAUUUGAAAUACUAAUCUAAUCGGACAAUUAAACACACAGAAUGCAAUUGUAGUUCAAGGCAAGACAGUAGUGAUGCUACUUUAUUUUGCUAAAAUGAACUAACUUGAACAAUUACAAUUAACAUAAAAAUUAAUCUGAACUAACGACACAUUAAUGAGAAAAGAGCAGAGGAGAGAAAUACCUAUAGUGUUUGAAUGGGUUGUCAAAAGAAACGGAUUUCCGGCAAGCCGGAGAAAUUGCCACACAAACACUGGCCGGAUUUCUCCAUGCGAGAUAUUGUUCUAUGCAGCAAAUAUCUCCUACUGACCCGAUAAAAUGAAGCAGAACAAGGCGAGGAUGAGUUGUGCGACCCAAUGGAGCUUGACCAAGGUUCUGGUGGUCAUGAGAUCAGUAAAGUUCAUGCAAUCAUCAAGAGAAGUCAACUGGUGUAGGUUUCGAUCUCAAAUGAGCCAGAAUUAGGGACAAAUUAAAAAAGGGAAAACUUUAAGGUUUUUGCGAUUUCUUAGAUUUGAAAUUAAAGGAUUUUGGGGAGGUUUUCUGGGAAAAUUGGUAGGAGAUUUGGGAUUAGGAGGGGAAGGAGAUUGUAUGGUGAUAAAAUUGGGCCAUUUGGUAUGGUGCCGCCGCCAUAGGGUGAUUUUCGGCGGCGGUAUGUCAGGAGAAGGGUAAUAGAUUGAGAGAUGGGGGAAAUGAAGGGGUUCUA